CCUACGGGUGGCAGCAGUGGGGGAUAUUGCACAAUGGAGGAAACUCUGAUGCAGCGACGCCGCGUGAGGGAAGACGGUCUUCGGAUUGUAAACCUCUGUCUGUGGGGAAGAAAAUGACGGUACCCAAAGAGGAAGCUCAGGAUAACUACGUGCCAGCAGCCGCGGUAAUACGUAGGGAGCGAGGGUUGUCCGGAAGUACCGGGUGUAAAGGGAGCGUAGGCGGGGGAGAAAGUUGAAUGUUAAACCUACCGGUUUAACUGGUAGCUGCGUGCGAUACUUCUUGUCUUGAGUGAAGUAGAGGCAGGCGGAAUGCCUAGUGUAGCGGUGAAAUGCGUAGAGAUUAGGAGGAACACCAGUGGCGAAGGCAGCCUGCUGAGCUUUAACUGACGCUGAGGCUCGAAAGCGUGGGGAGCAAACAGGAUUAGAUACCCCAGUAGUC
rnacentral:rRNA from 1 species